GGCUAAGCGGUCAACGGCGCCGGACUUGAGAUCCGGCGACCUUACGGUCUCAAGGGUUCGAAUCCCUU
rnacentral:tRNA from 1 species